rnacentral:tRNA from 1 species
GGCUCCAGAAUGUUGUGGUUAGUACAUCUGCUUUACACACAGGAGAUCCUGGGUUCAUGCCCCAGGUGGAGCCA